AACGCACAUUGCGCCCCUUGGUAUUCCAUGGGGCAUGCCUGUUCGAGCGUCAUUUGUACCCUCAAGCUUUGCUUGGUGUUGGGCGUCUUUGUCUCUCACGAGACUCGCCUUAAAAUGAUUGGCAGCCGACCUACUGGUUUCGGAGCGCAGCACAAUUCUUGCACUUUGAAUCAGCCUUGGUUGAGCAUCCAUCAAGACCACAUUUUUUUCAACUUUUGACCUCGGAUCAGGUAGGGAUACCCGCUGAACUUAA
rnacentral:misc_RNA from 1 species